GAUGAACGCUGGCGGCGUGCUUAACACAUGCAAGUCGAGCGAGAAGUUUUGAACAGAUUCUUCGGAUGAAGUUUAAAAUGGAAAGCGGCGGACGGGUGAGUAACGCGUAGGCAACCUGCCCCAUACAAAGGGAUAGCAUUUGGAAACGAAUAUUAAUACCUUAUGAAACUUAACUAGUGCAUGCUAGGUAGGUCAAAGAUUUAUCGGUAUGGGAUGGGCCUGCGUCUGAUUAGCUAGUUGGUGAGGUAACGGCUCACCAAGGCGACGAUCAGUAGCCGACCUGGGAGGGUGAACGGCCACAUUGGAACUGAGACACGGUCCAAACUCCUACGGGAGGGAGCAGGGGGGAAUAUUGCAAAAUGGGGGAAACCCGGAAGCAGCAACGCCGCGUGAACGAUGAAGGCCUUUGGGUCGUAAAGUUCUGUUCUAGGUGAUGAAAACUGACAGUAACCUAGGAAAAAGCCCCGGCUAACUCCGUG
rnacentral:rRNA from 1 species